UAACGGCGAGUGAAGCGGCAACAGCUCAAAUUUGAAAUCUGGCCCCCCCCGCGGGGGCCCGAGUUGUAAUUUGCAGAGGAUGCUUCUGGCGCGGCGCCUUCCGAGUUCCCUGGAACGGGACGCCAUAGAGGGUGAGAGCCCCGUCUGGUCGGCCGCCAAGCCUCUGUGAAGCUCCUUCGACGAGUCGAGUAGUUUGGGAAUGCUGCUCAAAAUGGGAGGUAUAUGUCUUCUAAAGCUAAAUACCGGCCAGAGACCGAUAGCGGACAAGUAGAGUGAUCGAAAGAUGAAAAGCACUUUGAAAAGAGGGUUAAACAGUACGUGAAAUUGUUGAAAGGGAAGCGCUCGCGACCAGACUCGGGCCCGGCGGAUCAUCCGGCGUUCUCGCCGGUGCACUCCGCCGGCGCCCGGGCCAGCAUCGGCUCGCCGCGGGGGAUAAAGGCGGCGGGAACGUGGCCCCUCCGGGGGUGUUAUAGCCCGCCGUGCCAUGCCCCGCGCCGCGGGCCGAGGACCGCGCCCUAGUGCAAGGAUGCUGGCGUAAUGGUCGCCAGCGACCCGUCUUGAAACACGGACCAAGGAGUCGUCUUCGUAUGCGAGUGUUCGGGUGUCAAACCCCUACGCGGAAUGAAAGUGAACGUAGGUGAGAGCCCUCGCGGGCGCAUCACCGACCGAUCCUGAUGUUCUCGGAUGGAUUUGAGUAAGAGCAUACGGGGCCGGACCCGAAAGAAGGUGAACUAUGCCUGUGUAGGGUGAAGCCAGAGGAAACUCUGGUGGAGGCUCGCAGCGGUUCUGACGUGCAAAUCGAUCGUCAAACAUGGGCAUGGGGGCGAAAGACUAAUCG
rnacentral:rRNA from 1 species